rnacentral:rRNA from 1 species
GAUGAACGCUGGCGGCGUGCCUAAUACAUGCAAGUCGAGCGAACAGAUGAGAAGCUUGCUUCUCUGAUGUUAGCGGCGGACGGGUGAGUAACACGUGGGUAACCUACCUAUAAGACUGGGAUAACUCCGGGAAACCGGGGCUAAUACCGGAUAAUAUUUUGAACCGCAUGGUUCAAUAGUGAAAGACGGUUUCGGCUGUCACUUAUAGAUGGACCUGCGCCGUAUUAGCUAGUUGGUAAGGUAACGGCUUACCAAGGCGACGAUACGUAGCCGACCGUAGAGGGUGAUCGGCAACACUGGAACUGAGACACGGUCCAGACUCCUACGGGAGGCAGCAGUAGGGAAUCUUCCGCAAUGGGCGAAAGCCUGACUGAGCAACGCCGCGUGAGUGAUGAAGGUCUUCGGAUCGUAAAACUCUGUUGUUAGGGAAGAACAAAUUUGUUAGUAACUGAACAAGUCUUGACGGUACCUAACCAGAAAGCCACGGCUAACUACGUGCCAGCCGCCGCCGUAA